rnacentral:rRNA from 1 species
AUUGAACGCUGGCGGCAGGCCUAACACAUGCAAGUCGAGCGGAGCGGAGGACGGGUGAGUAAUGCCUAGGAAUCUGCCAGGUCGUGGGGGAUAAUGUCAGGAAAUGGGCGCUAAUACCGCAUACUCUCCGAAGAGCCUAGGUCGGAUUAGCUAGUUGGUGGGGUAAAGGCCUACCAAGGCGACGAUCCGUAACUGGUCUGAGAGGAUGAUCAGUCACACUGGAACUGAGACACGGUCCAGACUCCUACGGGAGGCAGCAGUGGGGAAUAUUGGACAAUGGGCGAAAGCCUGAUCCAGCCAUGCCGCGUGUGUGAAGAAGGUCUUCGGGUUGUAAAGCACUUUAAGUUGGGAGGCGUUACCAGCAGAAUAAGCACCGGCUAACUUCGUGCCAGCAGCCGCGGUAAUAC